AGGUUUCCGAGGCCGCUCCCAUCCUCACCCCACCUCCCGGCCCGGCACUGGCCUCGCCGCCGGAGCCCCACUAUGCCAGACGGUUUCGACACUUCGCAAAGACAAAGAGCCCCCGAGCAGAGCGAGGAGAGAGAGCAGGAAGGCGAGGACACAGAGGCGCCGGGGGCGAUGUGAGCCGCGGGGUGAGUGUUCCGCGCCCUCCGGGACUCCUCGGAGAGCGUCCCGCCCCCGGGAACUCCUGGAGUCUCCGCAGGCUGAGCACGGGGUCCCUCGCUGCCCGGUGCGCGGGGGCUGUGUCUGCGCGCCUCGGGGCGCUGGCAGUUCCGCUUGUGUUCUCCGAGUGCAGGGUGACUGUCCGGCCCGGACCAGGAGAGAGUGACAGUGGAGGUGGAACUGAGGACCCCGCCCCGGGAGGAAAUUCCACUUCCUUGGCUGGAAACGCCAGUGGCAGGCAGCCGGUAACUCUGAGGACUGUGCCGAGCAAAGGGACGAGUCUGCCUGGGGACCGGGGAUGGACAGCCCCUUGGCCUUCUGAGGUGCUCAAUAGCCACAUGGGACUGGUGGCUACUAUAUGGGCAGAGAGUGCUGGGGAUGUUUCUACCAUCAGGAAACAGUGGAUUGGAAAGAAGUCAUCACCCUGGAAUGUGUCACUUUACCCUGCCUGUCCCUAACCCAGCUCGGAAAUGAUUGCAACCAUUGUGGAAGAAGAAAGAAGGUUGAUGUGAGCACGUGCACGCGCGUGUGUUUGUUUGUGUGUGUGUGUACAACGGUUCUUUUUACAUGAUUAUUGGUGAAGAUCUCUCUUUUUCUCUUUUUUGUGGUGCUGGCUGGUGAUUACACAUAUGAGGCAAGUGCUCUGUCCCUGAGCUAUACCCCCAACCCCUAUCUCUCUGUCUUUAAAAAGAGAAUUACUUUUACAAUUUCUUGGGGAGUGUGGUCUCUGCAUAUGAAUUCACAUAGAAAUGAAGCCACAUAGGCCUUGGGGUUUCUUGGCUUUACACAGUAAAAUAGAUGGAGAAACACAAGCUUGAGCCCUUCUAUGGUCAUAGGUAGUCUAGGUGCUGGAUGUGGCCUUCUGUAAUGGGAAACGACCAAUCUCCACAGUGUUUCCAGGUGGUGAAGACAUGGGCAAGAGGGAUAGAAACAAAGAGGAAGAAAAUGUGCUCAAGAGAAAGUGUCUGUGAGCCUUGGAACAAUGAGGAAGGAUAGAGACAAAGGAGAACUGGGGUCCCAGUCACGGUCAUGGGUUUACUUUGAAAAAAACCCAUUGAACAAUGUAUCAGUGCUUGGGAACUCAUCACAUCUCAGAAGGGGGCUGAGCACAGAACAGACAAUUUUAUGCAGGAGAUGGUGAAGCGGCCUGGACCUGGCAGUGGCCCGCCAUCUUGGAAGGGACAGGACUGGGGCAAAACCAGAGGUUCCGCUUGGUGCACCACCAGAUAAAGAGGGGAGUCACACAAGCCAGUCCCUGAAACAGUUUACGGGUGUCACCCCAGAGGGAAGAGAGGAGAGACUAGAUGGCCACCAGCCUCCAGUUUGGGUGUUUAAGGGUGGGCUCUCUUGUGCUUGGGUUACCCAGGAAGGAACAAGAACAAGGCAGAAAGUCAGUUAAUGAGAAAAGAUGCAGUUGCUUCAUAUUCUGUUCAUUUACAUCUGGAAAUGACCGAGAUUUUCUGUGGAAUCAGCAUUUUGUCAGAGAGCCUUGGUUCCUUUCAGGGGAGAAAGAAAUUUAGAAAGGAUAUCUUGGCCCCUGGUUGUGUUCAUUGCUAUUGGGGUCACAUUGCUUCUAGGCCCCCUAAGCAGACACAGCCGGGGAGUAUGUGUGUGCCUAUGGAACAAACACAUGUGGAUGCACAACCACACACACAUACUUAUUAUGUACAUCAUAUGCACAUUUACCUAUGCAUCCAUACACUUCUCUAGAUCAUUUCUAAGCUGACCUACCUAUAUGUGAAAACCACCAUGCAUUCACAGGAUGAUGCUAGAACCCUCUUGAAAUUUGGGUCUGUAUUGAUGCUGAAUAAUCACACCACUCCCAGCUCAAUACCACCCCAACCACCACUUUAUUAAACUGGAUCAGGCACUGUCUCGGGCCCAUUAUUGCUGUUCCUGCUGCCGUCCACCCAGGUGCCCAAGUACAGAUGAAGAAACCAAGACCCUGAAAAGCUAAUAAACUUGAACCUUGUUACCCAGCUAGGAAAAGUGGCAGUUCACGGGCAGCACCUACCUGUCUGACUGUUGACACUUCACCUCGAGGCCCACGGAGUAUGUCACAGUUUCCUGAGAAAAACCAGCACUGUGGGAGUGUCUGUCCCCAUGACCAGAGGUUCUGGUCUUUGAAGCAGCAGGCUGGCUGAGGUGCACUGAUGGACUCCACAUCCUUUGCUCCCCAGGAACCUGUGUGGGCUGAACCACUCCGUGCCCUUCUGUGGGUGUAUGUGACACACCUGGAGGUGUGGGCAUGCAUGAGUCUGGGGGUGCACAUGGGAGUGAGUGUUUCUGCGUGGGGGGGGGGGGUAUGUGCAUGCAAAGCCAUGGAUUAGAGGGAAGGUAUGAUUGCAGAACAGGACCUCUCCGCCAGGUGAGCCCGCAUUUCCUGUGGCUUGCCAUUCUCCUGGCAGACCUACACUAAUGCCAAGGUCUCAGCUUCAACGUGUCUAUACCGUGGGUCCCCACAGACCAGAGGGCCCUGGUCCUGUCUGCAGAAUAUGUGCAGUGUGUGUGCUGGGUAAAUCCCAGCUCCAUUCUCAUGUCAGCAAGUGUUUCUGAGCACCUUCCCUCUCUUGGGCUGCUCAGGAUCACAUCCCAGCCAGGGGUGGGGAUGGGAGGAGCCAAUACACAGGAGUGGGGGACAGAGAGGGCCAUGCCAGGGAACAAGCAGUAGGGUGGGGUUGGAGAGGGUGAGCACAUUACCUCCUCGGCAGGGUGCUGUGGCCAGGCCUGUGUUUUCCCUGGCGGAGUAACAUGGUCAGACAUGGACUCCCCUCCCUCUUCUCAGGACUCAGGCAUUUCCUUUGGGUGGAGUCAGUGUUAUAGGCAGGUCCAGAGACAGACUGCAGGCCAAGGCCUGGGAGGAGAUAAAUGGACACACUGGCAGUCAUCUGAUAGAAACCUGGAGGGGAAGAGCUGGUGGAGUUUCCCCUGCUGAUAACCUUUAAGAGCCACAGAGGCAGGGACAAGGGGUGUGUCUCAGGAAGUGGAGAGACUUGGGGCAGCCAGUGGCUCUGAGUAUCUGAAAGGCUGUUGGAUAGGGAGGGAUCAACUUGUAAGGAGAAUUUGAAGAAGAG
ensembl:lncRNA